UUACCUUUUUUUUUUAAGGCUAAUUUUGUCUUAGAUAGUAUGGGUAAGUUCCAAUUACGGAGGUCUCAAGAGUUGAAGAGAAAUUCGGUACUAAGCCUUCGUCCCAGACGGAAGGAGUUGUUCAUUGGCUUCACAAAGGGCUAAGAUGGAGAGAAUGGACAAAUUGGUGAGGGAGUUAGGAGAAGUCGUGCUUGCCAAAGAAUGUUGUCAAAAUCUGGCAAAAAGUUUUAAUCACUCCACUGGUCGUGCUGGAAAACCAAUUGUGAAAUGGAUUCAGGUGCAAAAUUGGUUCCAGGAAAGGAUGCAAGAGAGUUGCCAAACAUAUUAAAAGAUCUCCAGGGAGUUUUGCCCUUCCACUAAGGCACCUAAAAGCAAAGAAAAACCUAAAGUUCAUAGAAGUUCCGCAGCGGGAAUUAAAUGCUGUUGAGAAGGACAACGAUGCAUUCAUUGAGGAUUUUUCUAAAGAGGACUACAAUGACAUGGUGAAUGGAAGGCAAAGCUGGUUAGGAGUAACUCUAGAGAGCAGAAAUGGGUGGGGCCUCUUCAUUGCCAAGAAGAAAUGAUUAUGAUACCUCAAAGUUUUGCAUAUGCAAAUGCAAUAGUGUACUCGAGUUAGAUAUGCAUUUCAGAUAAACAUUUUAUUCAGUUGCUGGUUUUAUCACAAACUAUGUCGUUGUCUUAUUAGUGUUUGAACUUUUGCCAUCUGUAAUAAUGAAAUUGGGGUUUGUCUUUGCUCAUUUGUAUCUGAAUCUUUGUCAAAUUCAAUAUUUGCCUGUUUUAAUCA